GGAAAGGGAGCGGAUGAGAGGAGAAAUGUAACUUCAAGAUAAGGAUGCAAAUGUCAAGAAGCCACUGCUGUUGUGAGCUGCUACUCAGGCCUCUUGAUUGCAAAUGAUAAAAACCAAACUGGAACUAGUUUCGUGGAGAAGACUUUAUUGGAAGGAUGCUGUGGUGACUGACAUUGUAACAGAAUGGAAAUGGUGAUGCCUCAGAGGCAGCUAGGAUCAGGGCCCUGGAGCUAUCAGAGCACCAUCUCUCUGUCUAUCUUCAUUGCCUCUGUGUGUUGGUUUUAGUCUGUUCCACCACGAACCAGCUUCUUCCAUAUAAGGGAAGUGUCAUCCUUGAAUUUUCCCUAAACUCUUACAUUAUGGUCUUAUCUCCACAAAAGGAAUGUCCCUCUCCCUUAGGUUCAAUUUGAAAAAUUCCAGGAAGGUGGAUGAGCUCACCCUGGGCCAACUGAAGGAGACAAAAAAGGUGAGGUAUGAGGAUUAGCUAACACCACAUCGUUGGAGUGGGGAGGAAAGAUAGUUCUCUAGGAAAGAUAGAGUUUUAUUUUAAGAAGAAAGCAAGCUUGACAAGCCUAACAGUGCGUAUUCACCCUAUCAUCUGCUAUAAAAGUUCCUGGAUAAGGAUCUCCACGUGAAACAAUUGGAAAUUGAGAGUGAAGCCAUCUGAUGGUAACCAUGUCAGGUCAUACUUUGCCGCCUCCAGGACAUCUUCUGUUGAUUCUUCCACGCUGGGAUAGAUUUCCUCUCGUUUUCAGGAGGGAUAGGUGAGUUGUAUACUUGCUGAGGAAGCUUUGCACGUGAAGAAGUCCUUUGCAGUGGGAGAGCAACUUGGCUGGACACAGAAUUCUUGGGUAACAGAAUUUUCACUUUAGAUGAUAAUAUAUUUAGAUACAGCUGUUGCAAGCACUAACCAUAUAUUGAUUCAUUUAAUUCUUCUGUGAAAUAGCUCUUAUCAUUAUCCUCAUUUUGAAGAUGGUAUAACUGAAGUGCAGAGAGCUUAAGUGACUUGUCAAAGGUGAAACAACUGGUAAGUGGAAUUAGGAUUUGAACCAGGGGAGUUUUGUUUCAAAGCCUACACUCAUAACCACUACACCAAAUAGUCCAUUACAUAGUCAUCUGCAGAUUAUUGUCUAUUAGAUAUUUAUGGAUGUUAAUUCAUUACCUUUUGUCUUUUAGAGAAGAUACUAUUGAAACAAGUCAUAUUUUUCUUCAUUGGAAGGUAAAUGUUUUCUAUCUUCUCUCUGCCUGGACGCAACAUCAAACUAGUGGUCUCUGUGCCUUGUCCUUUUAAACAACAUUUCUGUCUGUGAAGACCUACUUCAUCUCUGAAAAGUUUUCUUUUACUAUUUUAUUCAUUUAAUUGUUUCUGCAAUAUUGUCUCCUUUGGGGGUUCCCAUGUAUGUAGGUAGCAUAUUCUGGAUCUAUACUUCACUCAUAACUUUAUUUAACAAAUACUCAUUGAUUUUCUACUGUGUGCCAGACACUGUGAAUAUAAUGAUGAUGAAAACAUGGCCACUAACCUAUUAAUCUUACAGUCUAACUAGGGAGAGGCAGAUCUUAAAAAGUAAAGGGACACUAUUAUAAUUGUAAAUGUCAUUUAAUGCAAAAUCUGAAGGCUAAGUAGACUCAGCCAGUUGAAAGAGUGGAAGAGUAUAUCAGGCAGAGGGGACAGAAUGAAUCAAGGCUCCAAGCAGGCUAGACUUGGUGAGUACUAGGGUCUACUGAAGGACAAUGAGCAAUGGAGAGAUUAUUAUAAAAUGAGACUGCCCAUGUAGUUAGGAGCUAGAUAAUGUAGGUCUGUGCAGUCCAUGUUAAGCUUUUGCUUCUUAACAAAGGGAAGCCAUUAAAAGCUUUGAAGUAGUGGAAUUGAAUGACCUACAAAUAACCUGACUUGAAAGCUGACUGGAUGGAAUAAGAGGCUGUGUGGGGAGACCAGUUAGAAGGCUCUUGCAGUUUUCCAGCUAAGAGAUGAUGAUGGCUUAGACCAGAAUCUAGCAGGGGAGCUGGGGAAAAGAGGAAAAAUUUCAGAAACAAUUACAGCGUAAGUGCUUUGUAUUUACAAUUUUUAGUAAAAGUGACAGAGAGCAACCAAAACUAGUAGAAUAAGCCUAAUUAUAAGAUUACAGGGAUGCAUCCAAGGAAGUGAAAGCAUAUAGCUGAGACUUUGAAAAUGCCUGGCACCAAGACGUGGGAAGUCUUAGGAAACUCAUGCAAUAACUUGUUUUUAUCUUUCAUCUCUGUUUCUAAAUUUCACUGCCUUCUUCUCUGGCUAUGCAUACUGGCUUAAUCUGUUCCAUGUACGUAGGGUGGAAGAUGGCCAGAGUACAUCGCCCACAUUUUUGCUUCUUCUUCAUUCAAAGGAAAGCAUGCAACACUGAAUUUUUAAUUUUUAGUUUCAGUUCUAAUUUCUCAAGAUCGUGAGCCAGGUUGAUCCAAUUUGAGUCUUUUCAAGUGGAUUCAGUGGGAAGUUUUAUGGUGAAAAUAAGAUUCUGAGAACCCACCACACUGGAUGGAGCUAGGGUUAGCAUUUGGAAUAUACAUGAGAAAGUUCCUGUCUAAUGAUAUUUAUUUUCUUAUGAGAAGUAGAUGCAGUAGAUUUCUGAGAAUAAGAGAAUGUGGUAGAGUCAAAGAUUUGAGGAGACUGGUGAAAGUUUUCACUUGCAGUUUCAGAAAGAGAAAAACUGAGUAGAGAGCUUUAGUAUAAUCCUAGGUAGAAUUGAGAGCCCAGCUGGGAUUAACAACCUUGAACUUAUGGUGGUACUAGUCUGCAAAUGGACAAAGGCGGAAAGAGUUUGGUAUUAGAUGAUGACUAUGAUGCAUAUUAAGGAUGAGGAGAUAAGUGAAGAGAGGAGAUUUAUGGGUAGAGAAGAAGGAGAAAGAAUGAGAUGUAUAAAGGCCCAGAGGCAGGAGAGGUUUGGUAGGUUUGUGGCACUGUGAGAAAGCUGGAUUGGGGACAUAGCGUGAGGGCUGGAGUCACAAGUUGGCUUUUCUUCAGCUCAGCACCCAGCGCAGUGCCCCCAGUGCCCAACCCAAUAUGUACACGUAGUAAGUGCUCAAUAAAUAUUUGUUGAAUGAAUCUAGCCUUAUCUGUGUUGUGUCUCCAAUUUUCCUUCAAAGUUUCUGUCCUCUAGAUGGCAGCCUUCCAUAGUUUACAGAGACAAUGCAGGCUUUCAUCUUUUUUGAUAGUGGAAAAAUUACCUCAAUAUUCUGGGUCUCAAUUUCCUCCUCUGUAAAAUACGGGUAUAAUAAUAACACCUACCUCUCAGGUAGUUGUGAGGUUUCAAUUGAGUAAAACAUGAAAGGGCUCAGCUUUCGACUUAAUCAUUAAUCAAUACCUGUUGCCUAAUAUAAUUAUUAAUUUUAUUCUUGUCAUGGGAGCUUUUUCAGCCUGGGAGAUUACUUGUGUUCAUGUCAUUGUCUUGUUUAGAACUGUUUUAAUUUGUACUGGACAUUUGUAAUUCGGACGACGCCAAACAUCCUUUCCCCAUCUUCAUCGUAUCCUGAGUUCUCCUUUGAGAACCUAGCCCUUUCCAAUUCUGCUUCCAAGUGUCUUGAAUGGGAUGUCUUCUCCCGGUUACAGGGUAGCAGUCCUGCAGGCUUACGUCAAUCCUUGUAUGGCAUCCCCCCAUCAACCAGAGCCAAUGAAAUGUGCAAUAAUUGGGGGGUUUUGUUUCUUUACUGCGAAAACUAUGAGAUGAGACCAUCCUUUUUCUCCACAAUAAUAUGUGGUGAGCUUGAGAGGUCUGUAUCUAUGUGAGCCAUUGUUGCUACAAGGAGAGCCGAGAGAGCCUUCACAGGGAGCCUGAAGGUCAAGCAGAAACAGAACCAUGAGGGGCUGGCCCAGUGGUGCAGCGGUUAGGUUUGCGUGUUCCUCUUUGGCGGCCUGGCCUGGGGUUUGCCGGUUGGGAUCCUGGGUGCUCACCUAUGGCACUGCUUAUCAAGCCAUGCUGUGGCAGGCGUGUCAGGUAAAAUAGAGGAAGAUGGGCAUGUGUGUUAGAUGUUACCUCAGGGCCAAUCUUUCUCAGCAAAAAGAGGAGGAUUGGUGGUGGAUGUUAGCUCAGGGCUAAUCUUCCUCAAAAAAAAAAAAAAAAAAAGAAAAAGAAAACAGAGCAGAGAGAGGCUUAAGAAUGACGUUCUGGGUGCUGGUUUUUGAGCCCUUGGGUCCAAUCUUCCCAGAAACUAGUUAUAUUUCUGAUCUCAUCAUGUGAGCUAACACAUUUCGUUUAUUGUCUAAACUAGUUUAAGUUGGAGUUUUGUUACUUGCAGUAUACAAUCUUAACUAUACACAAUUUUCAUUGAGAAUGUGCUUGUCCACCUGAUGUUGAAUAUAUAUUGACUGAAAUAAAAUUAUUCUUUCAAUAAUCUUAUGUAGAAACCCCAUUAGUGAAUAAUCAAUGGAGUCUAUGCCAUUAAGCAGUGCAUAUAUUCAUUUUUUCCCAGUCUAAAUCAAACUCUAGGACAGUAUGGUCUUUUGAAAAAUUAGUGACUCUUCUAAUAAUUACACUGUGAUUCUCAUGGACUGUCAGUGAGUAAAUGAUAUCUUUAAUACAGAUUAGUUUUUAUAUGACUUGUCUUACAUUUUAAUGUAAAGGAAGAACAUUACAGAAAUCUCCUAUUAUUAUCCACUUAUUAUAAAGCUGAGUUCAUCCUUUUGCUAUUUAAUAUUUAUUAUUUAAUUUCUACAUUUCCAUUAUAUCCAAAUUUUGAGAAACCAUGGUUUUUAUUACUCACAGAGGGAACAUUUGAAGUGGAAGGAAUUUUGGAAGCAGACAGAACUGGGUUCCCGUCUCAGCUCUGCUACUUGCUAGCUCAGUGAACUUGGACUAGUUAUUUAACUCUGAGCCUCAGUUUUUGGUUUUUGUUUUCCCAAAUUGGGAGUGAUGAUAGAACCUUCUAGACAGAGAUGUAGUGAGGAAUACUGAGAUCGCAUAAACAAGACUCCUAGUGUACAUUAAGAUACCCAAAGGCUCACAGCAAGUAUUAUCUCCCUUUUUCCAAUUAGUACAUUUAAAUUUGUCUUCAGAAAGGUUUAGUGUGAAGGUGUGCCAAGCAGAUAUAUUGUUCUUUGAAGUGAAAAUAUUAAAUAUUUUUCUUUAUUUACUAACUUCUAAACACUCAGUGAGGAGGAGCUAAUGUGUAUUCAGAUUAGAUCUUGUCCAAUGCUAAUUUGAUGUCAGGUUUAUGAAUUGCUUGAAGUAGUAUAUCUGUGAGUGAUUAGAGGAAUACCCAUAUUUCUCAGCACACUAUGGAUUUAAAACUAUAGGGAGUUUAGAAAGCCAUUGAGUCUGCUUCCUUCCUGUAAUGUCUAUACAUCAAUUUAUCUGUAUAUUGUUCCAGCUCCACUGGAGAACGUUGGCUUCGUGCAUUGUCGUUUAUUUUUUAACUUGAUAUUAUUUUGUGUGGCUAACUGUGUAGCUCAUAAUAGGAAAUUGAAAAAAGAUGUGUGCAGUCGUGCUGCAAACUGUGACCCAUCCAUUUAAUAUGAGCUGAGAGAGAAGUAGCUCCCCCUUUGUUUUAUUUUUAUUAUUGAAGCAUUCUCAAGGUUUGGAUCUUGAGUCUGAGAGGAAGAGUUUGGUUCUUCACAAUGAUUUUUGUAUAAAUGUCUUGAAAGGUUUUCAUGUGAAAUAAAUUUGCUUUUCCCCUGGAUCUCAGUUCUAACUUUGACAAUCAGAAACCAUUUUAAAAUCUCCCAAUUAUAUACCCUGCCCAGUGGCCCGCUGGCCAUGACCUUUUCAUGCCAGCUGGAUCCUUCGUCAGUUCCCAGUUGGAGCGUGAGCCUGAGUAGCUAAGGAACCCUCUUCAACAGAGGGAUAAACAUACCCAAGUUUGAAUUUGUCUAAAUACUGGUGUAAUUACACAAAUGACUCAGCCAGCCUUUUCUAUUGUUCAAGUUCAAUUCAGGGGGGAGAAAAAAAGUUCCUGAAAGUUAGUGAAGAAAGAAGUUGAAGAACAAGACAGUAUUGUCUGAGGUGUCUCUUUUUGUGUAAUGAUAGUUGCAAUUUGUGACUAGGAGGCAAGAUGGCAUGAUGGUUAGAAGUAUGGACUCUGGUGCUGCCUGGGUUUGAACCCAGAUCUGCCACUUAUUACCGGAUGCUGUGACCAGCACAGUGCCUGAUACAGAGUAAACAUGGAAAGAGAAGAACCUGGAAGAAAAUUCCUCAUUGCCCUAGAGGUGAACCUGAACUUCCUUGCUCCCUGUCGUGGGUAUCCAGAGAACUUUGUUUUCCUGCUCUUGUCAACCUCAUGUUUAACCCUGCUGGUUUUCAUUUACUUUAUAAUUCAAUCAUAAUGAAUUUUAAAAUCCAUUCUAACUUCCAAGGAUCUCUAGAGACUUGCUUCAUCAGUCUGACAUCACGUUCAUUUACAUUUCUUAUUUUUUCGUUUCCUUGUAAGAGGUCUAAGCACUGUUCCAAUAAAACACUUUUAAGAUUGCAUUACACAUACUGUGUGCUAUUUAUUCCUGGCUACAUGUUCAAACUAACAAGCAAGAAAUUGCCUAUGCCCUGAUCAACUGUUAUAAACUGUAAUGCUAUAUCUGUUAUAAUUGAAAAAAAAAUUGGACCUGGACUAUUCUUUUGUAACCAUCUAAGCUAAUAGUUUACAUGGAAAAUAUUUAUACAAAAAUUGUAGCCAAUUCAAGUUCAAGGAGAUGUUACAGGCCAUUCAGCUUGAUCAUUCUCUCAAGAUGGUAAGUUCUUAGGUAUUUCCCAUGAUAAAUAAUCGUCUGUCUUUUGCCUGGCGUGUUCCAGGCAAAGAGAACACAUUAAUUCUAAAGUCAUCUUCUUCCUUUGGUGGGCAGUUCUUUUUGAUGGGAAAUUAUUUCUCAUAUUGAAUAUAACCCACUGCUCUCAAAAACAACAUAGGUUGGAGCUGAUCACCAUCUUCCGUGAUAGCCUUCAAAUAUUUGGAGACAGGUAUUUUGUUUCCUAAUAUGUUAUAAAUCGACAGAUUGUACUGGUGGAGCUCAGUACGUGGAAGGUACAUAAAUAUAAUUUAAUUCUAUUGUUUUACAGAUAAGUAAAAUAAACAGGAGGAGACGUUGAGUAACAUGCCCAACAUCACACAUUUGUUCAUUCAAUCAUUGUGUACUCAGACACCAACUUAAUAAAUUUACAGUUUUAUUAUCUAUUAUAUACAAUUUUAUAAUUUAGUAUAACAUACAAAAUUUUGCAAUUUACUAUAACAAAUAAGUUAUGAAGAAAUUUAUAAUUUAUUACAUAAAUAACAUUGAAGACCUCACUGAAUUACAGUCACUCCGUUCUCCUCCUUCCCUACCCAGAGACUACCACUAACCUCUAUUGGUUGUUUAACAUUCAAACAUAUUGUAUCAGUUAGUGUUCCAGCAGAGAAACAGAAACACUAUGAGUGAUAUGGAAUUGGGGAUUUAUGAUAGGGAUUUGAUUUUACAUGGUUGUAGAUGCUGUCGAAGAAGUGGAAGCUUAUUGCCUCUGCAUCUGGGCCUGAAGUCUUGUAGGUUAGUAGGUCUGACAGUCAAGAACACGAGCCAGACAUGAAGUGGGGCAGAACAAGGACAAACCAGAACAUAAGUUAGUCCCUCACUGCCUCCAGGCUUGGUGAUCCUGGUGAAAUAGAAGGAGCUGCUGCCCUUUGCCGUGGAGCCACACACACACCCGGCAUUGGACUCAGAGUAAGUGAAGGAGGGUAGCAGGCUUGGAGGAGCUGCAGGCCUGGCUGGUGCUCCAUGCCAACAAGGUGAGCAACAGUCAGAUACAAUAUGUGCAAUCUGUAGUGGCUCCUGGUAACUACAGAAUUCAUACUGACCUUCAGAGCAAAAUGGCUGCCCCACUGAGCACCAUCAAUUCUCUAAAUGCUGUGUAGUUAUCUAGGGGCCAGCAUUUAACCUCUGCAGGUCGUCCAAAGCUGGAGCUCAUCAGCAGAGACGACCUGCAGAUCUCUUCCUUCACCCUAUUUACUCCCAAAUAUUUCUCUGUGUGGCUCAGUUUUAUAUUUUCUGCAGGACUACUGGGUUGGAUUAAAAAUGGCAACCUCUGAAACAUUUUCUCCUUUAAUCAUUUGUCAGUGGAGAGUGGGUGGUGAAAAAUGAGAAUCAAUGCAGUGCCUACAUUGUCCUGAGGGUGAACUGAGAUGAUUAUGAUGUACUUAGUUCAGUGAGAGGCAUACAGUAAGUGCUCAAUAAAUAGUGGUCAAUAUAAAUGUUAAUAUUAUUAUUGCACUUAAAAUUUCUUCUGCUUCUACUUGUGUGUCUCAUUAUUCAACUAUACAUUUCUUGAAUUUAGGAUCUGUGGCCGAUUCAGUCCUAUAUCCUCAGAAGCCUAGCUUAGAGCCUGACCUAUUUAGAGAUUCAAUACCUGGAGAUUGUAUUGAAAAUGACUUCAUAAGACUCUUUCCUGGGAUCAAUUUUUAGAAGGAGGAGAGAGAUGUAUGAAGAUACUGGGCACAUAAGAAUGAAGGGGGCACUGGGGAAAGAAAUACUCAAAUGUCAAUCAUACUGUUUGCAUGAAUUUUGUGAUGUUAGAUCUCAAGAUGUACUUGACUUAUUCUGUAGAUGGUGUUGGUACCAUUGGCUAAUGCUUUAGACGAAAUAGAGUUAUAUCCCUAUCUAACACCAUAUGGUAAAAGGAAUUCCAAGUGGAUUAAAUAUUUAAAUGGAAAAAUUAAAGCCAUCAAAGUUUGGAGGAAAAUGGGUAGGGAUGAGUAUGUGACCUUGGAGCAACGUUUCCUAAGCAUGUCACCAAAGAGGGAUUGCAUAAAAGAUUUAAUCUUGUAAAAAUAAGAACAAAAAUCUGUAUUUAAAGAUCUUGAUGAACUAAAGAGGAAAAGAACAAAUUGUAAUGACAUUUGCAAAAUAUAUGACUGUGUUAAUAUUCCUAACAUGUUAGAGACUCUAAUAAACCAGUAUGAAAAAUAUAAACAAAUCAAUAGAAAAAUGGACAAAGAGCAUGCACAGCCACUUCUAUAUACUGCAGGUGGAACCAUACCUGGUAGAUGGGUACCAUCUUUCUGGAAAGCAAAUUUGCAUCAAAAGCCUUGAAUAUGUAUUUAUAUUUUGCCCUAGGAAUUUCAAUUUAAGGAAUUUAUAAUACUGUAUCCAAAGAUUUAACUGUAAGAACAUUUAUCAAAGUGUCGUUUGUAAGCAGAAUUACAAUUCUAUUUCCCAAAUGACUAUAGUGGCCUUCCUGACAUUUGCAUUUUAGUUCUCUGGGUGUUGCCUAGGUCAGUGUGAAUCGUUACACGAUAGAUUUAUACAUCAGCAUCACAAGCUUGGUUAAUGUGCGUCUUCUCCUGAGAUCUAUUUGGGCAUAUGAAGGAAACAUGUUUCUGAGCCUAUAUGUUUGAGAAUUCAGAUGCUGGAAUUC
ensembl:lncRNA